CAGCCUCCCGAGUAGCUGGGAUUACAGGACAUUUUUAAAGAUUGGAAUGAUCUCGUUCUUGAAACCUAGGUGGGAUACGAUCAUUUACCAGACUCUAUGUUGAAGAUGCCUGGACUAACCUACUGAAGAUACGUGGUUUUACCAACAGCCAGCACCAAUAGGAAGAUAUGAAUGAAGCCAUCUGAGACCAGCCAUCUGGCAGCCAAACUGCCAACUGACUGCAAAUGCAUGAAUGAUCCCACUGACACCACGUAGAGCACAAAUGAGUUGCCUCCACUGAGCCCAGCCCAAAUUGUUAUCCUAUAAAAUCAUAAAAACAUAAACAGUUGUUUUAAGUCACUAAGUUUUGGAUAGUUUGUUAUACAACAAAAGCUAGCUGAAACAAAUGUAUUAGCUAGAGCAGCUGUGAAUGGCACUAUUUGCUUAGUUGAUUGGCUGAAAUUUGGACUCACUGGUAGGUUACAUUUAAUGGUGUUGAGUUGCCAGAAUUUCUCUGGAAUAAUGUAUAGGAAGGAUUCUAAUGGCCUAAGCCAUUAGAAUCUCUAAGGAGAUAGAAAUAAAGGAGUGAUUUAUUAUAUGUAACUGUGCCUCUUCCCUCACCACACUUGGUCCUGAAAGAGCCUAAGGAAUAGUUUCUUCUCUAAAGCAUUGAAAAAUGCUUUAAUGGGAGAAGCCCCAGCACCCUUGAACAUGUUCAGGCAGCUGCUUUCUAUAGGCCAAGGAUGUGGUGGGAAAAUCUGCCUGAUCUCAAUGUAGAUGAUGAGAUCCCAGAGUAGCGAUCAGCAUUUUUUACCAGCAGGAAUAAUCUUUGGUGGUGGUUGGCUCUAAGAAUUAAAUAGAUGUGGGCCGGGCGUGGUGGCUCAUGCUUGAAAUCCCAGCACUUUGGGAGGCUGAGGUGGGUGGA
rnacentral:lncRNA from 1 species